UAAGGAAUAUUGCUCAAUGGGAGAAAUCCUGAAGCAGCAACGCCGCGUGGAGGAUGAAGGGUCUAUGACUUGUAAACUCCUGUAAAGAAGGAAAAAAUUCCCAUUUGAUGGGAGAUGAUGGUACUUCUGGAGUAAGCCCCGGCUAACUACGUGCCAGCAGCCGCGGUAAUACGUAGGGGGCAAGCGUUGUCCGGAUUUACUGGGUGUAAAGGGUGCUCAGGCGGAUUUGUAAGUCAGAGGUGAAAUCUUACAGCUUAACUGUGAAACUGCCUUUGAUACUGCAAGCCUAGAGUAUGGAAGAGNGCGAUGGAAUAUCUGGUGUAGCAGUGAAAUGCGUAGAUAUCAGAUAGAACACCAAUGGCGAAGGCAGUCACUUGGUCCAUUACUGACGCUAAAGCACGAAAGCGUGGGUAGCAAACA
rnacentral:rRNA from 1 species